AUGUGUUUUGUGGAUCUGGAGAAGGCGUAUGACCGGGUCCCCCGGGAGAAACUGUGGGAGGUGCUGCGGGAGUAUGGGGUAAGGGGGUCUAUCCUCAGGGCCAUCCAAUCUCUGUACUCCCAAAGCGAGAGCUGUGUUCGCGUCCUCGGCAGCCAGUCAGUUUUGUUCUCAGUGGGUGCUGGUCUCCGCCAGGGCUGCGCCUUGUCACCAAUCCUGUUUGUGAUAUACAUGGACAGGAUAUCGAGGCGUAGUCAUGGUGGGGAGGGGUUGCAGUUCGGUGGUCUGAGGAUCUCGUCACUGCUUUUUGCAGAUGAUGUGGUCCUCAUUGGAUCAUCGGCCUGUGACCUUCAGCACUCAUUGGAUCGGCUGGCGGCCGAGGUUGAAGCGGCUGGGAUGAGGAUCAGCACCGCUAAAUCUGAGGCCAUGACUCUUAGCAGGAAACCGGUGGAUUGCUUACUCCGGGUAGGAAAUGAGUCCUUAGCCCAAGUGAAGGAGUUCAAGUACCUCGGGGUCUUGUUCGCGAGUGAGGGUACUAUGGAGCAUGAGAUUGGCCGGAGAAUCGGAGCAGCGGGGGCGGUAUUGCGUUCGCUUUACCGCACCGUUGUAACGAAAAGAGAGCUGAGCCGCAAGGCAAAGCUCUCGAUCUACCGGUCGAUCUUCGUUCCUAUCCUCACCUAUGGUCAUGAGGGCUGGGUGAUGACCGAAAGGACGAGAUCGCGGGUACAAGCGGCCGAGAUGAGUUUUCUCAGAAGGGUGGCUGGCGUCUCCCUUAGGGAUAGGGUGAGAAGCUCAGCCAUCCGUGAGGAACUCGGAUUAGAGCCGCUGCUCCUUUACUUAGAAAGGAGUCAGCUGAGGUGGUUCUGGCAUCUGGUAAGGAUGCCCACUGGGCGCCUUCCUUGGGAGGUGUUUCAGGCACGUCCAGUGGGGAGGAGACCUCGGGGAAGACCCAGGACUAGGUGGAGAGAUUAUAUCUCAACACUGGCCUGGGAACGCCUCGGGAUCCCCCCGUCAGAGCUGGUCAAUGUGGCCCGGGAAAGGGAAGUCUGGGGCCCCCUGCUUGAGCUGCUCCCCCCGCGACCCGACCCCGGAUAA
rnacentral:lncRNA from 1 species